rnacentral:rRNA from 1 species
GGGCCCCUACGGGGGGCAGCAGUAGGGAAUAUUGCUCAAUGGGGGAAACCCUGAAGCAGCAACGCCGCGUGGAGGAUGAAGGUUUUAGGAUUGUAAACUCCUUUUGUUAGAGAAGAUAAUGACGGUAUCUAACGAAUAAGCACCGGCUAACUCCGUGACAGCAGCCGCGGUAAUACGGAGGGUGCAAGCGUUACUCGGAAUCACUGGGCGUAAAGAGAGCGUAGGCGGGAUAGCAAGUCAGAUGUGAAAUCCUAUGGCUUAACCAUAGAAUUG